CCAGAUUCCUAGACUUGGAGCUCUGCCAACAUCCACGUGUGACCAUUCUCUAGAGUUCUAUGAUUCUUCUAAUAUGGCAAGACUUCUACUUUCAUGUAUUCUCAAACUCUCCCAAUGCUGAAGUGUUCCUGCCUGUUCCAGACUUUUUUUUUCCUCUCACAUACUCAAUUUCACUUGAAAUUCAUCCCACUUUAGUAUAUAGACAGAUAUGUUGUGCAUUGACUCACUAGCAUAGUUUUUCUACCACCAGGUGGAGAGAGUUGGUGAAAUGGGAUAGCAGAUCUUUAAGCAAUUUACUAGGCAGCUGCAUAUGUUGGCGUGAUUGAUGAGAGCCGCCACAGUCAAGCAAGCAGCCCUGGGCGGCCAGUUUACCCUUCCCUGCUAGGGUUUCAGCUGCCAGUUGCCCCCAUUCUGUGACAGCUUCUCCUUCUCCUCACCUUGUCAUCAAGCCAAGAUUGUACACUGUGGGAGUACAGGUAGAGUGAUGGCUCCAUCAAUCAAAUACACCCACCAUGAAUUUUCACUUGUGAAUUAAUAAUAAAGAGAAAGAUGAUUGUAA
rnacentral:lncRNA from 1 species